AAGAGUGGAAGGGUCUAAUCAUCCAGUCAGAGGCCGCCAGAACUGGAUCGAGCCUUACUCUCAAAAGACUUACAUGGGCUAUGCACACAGUAGGUCAAAGCAUCAGGAAUCGUUUUCUCUAUUUUUUUUUUUUUUUAGGAUUUCUAAUUCCAAAUAGAUCUUUAUAGAAUUGUUUUCUGGAAGCCUUUAGUUCUGUCAUAUUAAAAUGUCCAUGAAAAAGUGAUCAAAACCUAAUGCUUAACUAUCCCACCACAGAGAAAAAUAUUGUGGUUUUUGGUUCCUAUUAAAACCAUGUGUUACAUAUAUAAUUAUGGAAGUCUCAGAUCCAGUGAGUACAACAUACAUGAAAUCUUUGGGAAAUAAUAAUACUUUUGCCUCACCGAUAGAACCUGUAGUGCAAUACUGUAACUCUGCCCAUGCCAUCGAAGGGGCACCUGGCCAAGGCCAGCAGGCGGGGGGCUUGUCGGCAUGUGCUGCCAUCAGAUCUCACCCCAGGAUCCACAGGCAUGAAGGAAGGUCACUUUUACACUUUACAGGAUUCUCGGGAGUUGGCUGGGCUGAAUCAUGCGCAUCUGCACUAUUCCUCCUUAGGGAAAGUUAAUUUUAGAAAGGAGAAAAAUUUUGCCAGGAAAACAAUCAUAUUGGCUCAAUAACUAGACAGCGUCUUUUCUCAAAUGUUCAAAAGGCUUCACAGUCUCCAUUUGUCCUUAAUGUUCUUGAAAGCAGGUAUCAGCCCUUUUUCACAGUGAAUGAAAAAAGUAAAUAAAAAGGAAAAGACAUGACUGCUCCUAGGUAUGGUGGAGGAGAAAGUUUACUAUAGAUAUGUAGGAGAACAUAGUCGGAGGCAGACACAUCUGGGGCAGUCCAGAGUGGUCAUGACCCUGAAUCUUGUUGGGGGAGGGGAAGGGAGAGAGUGGAGUGGAGCCAAGUACAGCCACCAGGAGGCCAAAGGUACAAAAGGGGGCGGGUGACCAAAAUGUCUGGAUUAUGUAGGGAAGAGCCUCUGGGGGCAGGGCAGCCUAGCCCCAGGGCUGUAGAGCUCAGGGUAGAGUGUGCCAGCCAUACCCAGUUACAGGUAGGGACUGAGGGAUGCUGGGAGGACCUGGAGGCCAGGUCUGCUUUGAUAUGUUAAAUAGGCACCCCAGCCACUCCGCUGGGCUUGAAACUUAACACAUCUAGGUCCAUAAAAUAAAAUCACUGUUUUAAUAGUGUACCUAUGUGACAAUAUAUUAAGAAAUUAGCUGUUUCCUUAACUUUUCAGAAGACACAGGUCAGUCUCUUUUGUCCCUGGUUGUUACCCUCUGCUGGCUGCAGAUACUUAUUAUAAUGGCUGAGGUACAAAUAAGGAUGUGCAUAGAAAAACUAGCAGAUGCACAACUGUGACACCAGGCAGGAUGGAGACAAAAUUAGCUUCAUUAAAUAUGAUGUAUAACGUCUAGAGGCCAGUCAGAGUGAAAGACCUGGGCUCACAUAAUUGGGAGCAUAAACAAGAUUUGCAUUAAUUUGAAUGACCGUUCCUUCUUUUGUUGCCUGGAGAUUGGUCUGCUUGAGAUUUUUAGUUUUGUUUUUGUUUUUGUUUUUUUUGCCUUUAAAUAAGCAACAAGUACACAGGCCAAAGGCCUGCAUUCCAUCAUUGACAAAAAUCAAGGGGCAGUCCGGGGAAGAUUUUCAGAUUCCCCGCAGAAUAGGCCUCCACCCUUUCCACUCACAGGAGUAUUUGUGGGGAAAUUCUUACCAAAAAAAAAAAACCAUGAUGUUUUAACUCUGGUCUCUUAGAAGCAUGGCAUUUUCCUCUAGUCCUGUAUCUGAGUUUCAAAAUAGCACUCAGCUUCCCUUCCCCUAACCACCAUCCCAGAAGUGAUGGCACCGCAUCAAACCAUCAGCCUCGGUGAACGGCCUUUCUGCCAUGUGGACCUUACACUUUCAGGAGGACAAUCCAGGAGGAGGAGGAUCGCUCUCACUUCCGGGCGGUUUUUUUUCCCCCCGUUUAGAUAUGAAGUAUAUAUACAUACACAACAACAGCCUCUCUCUCUCCUCCCGCCCCUUCUCCCACCAAAUCUGAAUCAAGAAUAAAGGACCUGGAGACGGUGGGCGAUCUCGUACCAACCCCUCGCCCUCGCCAGCGACCCAGAGUCAGGGUGCAGGGUUCCUGGUGCGGUCCUGGAGAAAACGUGAAAGCGAGGGGUGGAUGGUGGAGAGGGGGCGAAGGUGCCGCGGGCCGCGGAGCAGAAACCCAGAACGCGCAGCAUGGGAGCCCUGGCCAGAAACCCAGCACAGGGCGUCAGCUUGGCGCCGAAGACCCCGGAGAAGAGCAGAGGAAGAAGGUGCAGUGCUCAAGCAGAGUCAGCAUGUCUCUCCGUCUCAGAUCCCCAGAGAAGAAACUACCCUAGCUGAAGUCAGAGCCGAUAUAAAGCUGUGCCUACAAACGUUGUCUUCUAACCGUACAGGAGAGUAGACUGGCAUUGGAAUAAGGAUGAAGGUGCUGUUUUGGAUAAAUGCUCCCCAAAGUCCACAAAGUGUUCCAUGUCUGGCCAGCAGCCUUUGGCACUAUUAGAAUCUGGUGGUACUUUAAAAACUGGGACCUAGCAGAGGAAGCAUCGUCACUGGGUGCCUGCCCUAGAGGGAAUGCUUGGAGCCCAGCCUCUCUUCUUCCUGGCUGCUGUGAGAUGAGUGCUUCCUUUUCCUGGUGCCCUUGUGCCUAUGGCCUGCUUCACUGCAGGGCCAAAAAAACAUGGGCUAAAACCUCCAAAACCGUAAAGAAGAUAUGCUUUUAAAACUGACUUAGUAAGCCUGAGGGGGCCUGAGUGCAGGCCUUUGAUGGCAGCACUCGAGAGGCAGAAGCAGGGGGAUCUCUGAGUUCUAGGCCAGCCAGGUCUACAGAGCAAUUUCCGAGAUAGCUGAGGCUACACAGAAAAGGCCUGCCUUGAAAAAAUUAAACAAAACAAAACAAAACAAACCUGAUAUAUCUCCGGUAUUUGUUACGCUGCCAGAAAUCUGACCCCCACAGAGAAGUAUUCCAGAGGGUUGAGGGGACCGGGCAGUUUUGUACUGAAAGACAACUUACUAGAUGUUUGUUCUAAAGACAAAAAUGUAAAUAACUACACUGCAAUUUCACAAGGAAUGAUGAGACUAUGAAGAAACUAGGUGAGUACAUUUCAGGCAAGAAGGAAAGGCGUUUCCACUGCAGAGGCCUCAGGGCCACUUCAUGGGGAAAGGCAAUGCUUGGGUCUUAAUUAUCGGUUGCACCAGACCUAUAGCCCCCCCACACACACACACACAUACACACACCCAUCCCAGGGCUGAACUUCAAAUGCUGAUGAGAUGCAGAGUUGGGGCAGCCAAUAAGCAGGUGAUAACACAUUGUAGGUUAGUGUGCCACCAGAACCGGGUAAGCUGUAAAGCUAUAGAGUCCAUUGGUGUCAGAGGCAGAGAUAAGAUAACCCAAGAAUAUCAUGCAUGGGGAAAGAACUAAGUGCCUAUGGUGGGCACCUGAAUAACACUGAGUGGCCACUAGACUAAGGACAGCUAUCCAAGGAAAAGAACCAAUAGAAACUAAUAUUGUAUAGAAGAAGAAAAGUGUUAUAUAUAGAGAGAGCGGUGAUAAACAGUGCCAGAGUGGAACAGAAACUCAGUAAUAUGCUAGGCUUGGUCAUCACACCUGUAAUGCCAGCACUGGGGAGACUGAGGGAAGGACAAUCAGGGGUUAAAGGCCAGCCCAGCUAGAAAAGGAAACUGCCACACAAUAGAGUUGUUUUCCUACUAAAAAUG